UACGUAGGGUGCAAGCGUUGUCCGGAAUUAUUGGGCGUAAAGAGCUCGUAGGUGGUCUGUUGCGUCGGCUGUGAAAUCCCGAGGCUCAACCUCGGGCCUGCAGCCGAUACGGGCAGACUAGAGUUCGGCAGGGGAGACUGGAAUUCCUGGUGUAGAGGUGAAAUUCGUAGAUAUUCGCAAGAACACCAGUGGCGAAGGCGGCUCACUGGCCCGGUACUGACGCUGAGGUGCGAAAGCGUGGGGAGCGAACCGG
rnacentral:rRNA from 1 species